rnacentral:sRNA from 1 species
UGUUCACAACAGCGAAGACUUGGAACCAACCCAAAUGUCCAACAAUGACAGACUGGAUUAAGAAAAUGUGGCACAUAUACACCAUGGAAUACUAUGCAGCCAUAAAAAAGGAUAAGUUCAUGUCCUUUGUAGGGACAUGGAUGAAGCUGGAAACCAUCAUUCUCAGCACUCUUAACACAGGAACAGAAAACCAAAUGCUGCAUGUUCUCACUCAUAAGUGGUAUAUUUACUUCUGGCACAUGGGAAGAGAAAUCAGAUGAAAUUUCCUUUGCUGACUUCAAGUUCUCAGUCACUCAUCAUUAUCUUGUACAAGAGUCCACUGAUAAAGAAGGAAAGGAUGAGUUAUUAGAGGAUGUUAUUCCACAAUCUAUGCAAGAUUUGCUGGGUAUGAAUAAUGACUUUCCUCCAAGAGCACAUUGCCUGGUAAGAUGGUAUGGGCUACGUGAGUUCGUGGUGAUUGCCCCUGCUGCACACAGUGACGCUGUUCUCAGCGAAUCUAAGUGCAACCUUCUUCUGAGUUCUGUUUCUAUUGCCUUGGGAAACACUGGCUGUCAGGUGCCACUCUUUGUGCAAAUUCACCACAAAUGGCGAAGAAUGUACGUAGGAGAAUGUCAAGGUCCUGGUGUACGAACUGAUUUCGAAAUGGUUCAUCUUAGAAAAGUGCCAAAUCAGUACACUCACUUAUCAGGUCUGCUGGAUAUCUUCAAAUCAAAGAUUGGAUGUCCUUUAACUCCAUUGCCUCCAGUUAGUAUUGCUAUUCGAUUUACCUAUGUACUUCAAGAUUGGCAGCAGUAUUUUUGGCCUCAGCAACCUCCAGACAUAGAUGCCCUUGUAGGAGGAGAAGUUGGAGGCUUGGAGUUUGGCAAGUUACCAUUUGGUGCCUGCGAAGAUCCUAUUAGUGAACUCCAUUUAGCUACUACAUGGCCUCAUCUGACCGAAGGGAUCAUUGUGGAUAAUGAUGUUUAUUCUGAUUUGGAUCCUAUUCAAGCUCCACAUUGGUCUGUUAGAGUUCGAAAAGCUGAGAAUCCUCAGUGUUUGCUAGGUGAUUUUGUUACUGAAUUUUUUAAAAUUUGCCGUCGAAAGGAGUCAACUGAUGAGAUUCUUGGACGAUCUGCAUUUGAGGAAGAAGGCAAAGAAACUGCUGAUAUAACUCAUGCUUUGUCAAAAUUGACAGAGCCGGCAUCAGUUCCAAUUCAUAAAUUAUCAGUUUCAAAUAUGGUACACACUGCAAAGAAGAAAAUCCGAAAACACAGAGGUGUAGAGGAGUCACCGCUAAAUAAUGAUGUUCUUAAUACUAUUCUCCUGUUCUUAUUCCCUGAUGCUGUUUCUGAGAAACCAUUAGAUGGAACUACUUCAACAGAUAAUAAUAAUCCUCCAUCAGAGAGUGAAGACUAUAAUCUCUACAAUCAGUUCAAGUCUGCACCAUCUGACAGUUUAACAUACAAACUGGCUUUGUGUCUCUGUAUGAUCAAUUUUUACCAUGGAGGGUUGAAAGGAGUGGCACACCUCUGGCAGGAAUUUGUUCUUGAAAUGCGUUUCCGAUGGGAAAACAACUUUCUGAUUCCAGGAUUAGCAAGUGGACCCCCAGAUCUGAGGUGUUGUUUACUGCAUCAGAAACUACAGAUGUUAAAUUGUUGUAUUGAAAGAAAGAAGGCACGUGAUGAGGGGAAAAAGACAAGUGCUUCAGAUGUCACUAAUAUAUAUCCAGGGGAUGCUGGAAAAGCAGGAGACCACUUGGUGCCAGAUAAUCUAAAAGAAACAGAUAAGGAAAAGGGAGAGGUAGGAAAAUCUUGGGAUUCCUGGAGUGACAGCGAAGAAGAAUUUUUUGAAUGCCUAAGUGAUACUGAAGAACUUAAAGGAAAUGGACAAGAGAGUGGCAAGAAAGGAGGACCUAAGGAGAUGGCAAAUUUAAGGCCGGAAGGACGGCUCUAUCAGCAUGGGAAGCUUACACUGCUGCAUAAUGGAGAACCUCUCUACAUUCCAGUAACCCAGGAACCAGCACCUAUGACAGAAGAUCUGCUAGAAGAGCAGUCUGAAGUUUUAGCUAAAUUAGGUACAUCGGCAGAAGGGGCUCACCUCCGAGCACGCAUGCAGAGUGCCUGUCUGCUCUCAGAUAUGGAGUCUUUUAAGGCAGCUAAUCCAGGUUGCUCCCUGGAAGAUUUUGUGAGGUGGUAUUCACCCCGGGAUUAUAUUGAAGAGGAGGUGAUUGAUGAAAAGGGCAACGUGGUGCUGAAAGGAGAACUGAGUGCCCGGAUGAAGAUUCCAAGCAAUAUGUGGGUAGAAGCCUGGGAAACAGCUAAGCCAAUUCCUGCUAGAAGGCAAAGGAGACUCUUCGAUGAUACACGGGAAGCAGAAAAGGUGCUGCACUAUCUGGCAAUCCAGAAACCUGCAGACCUUGCUCGGCACCUGUUACCUUGUGUGAUUCAUGCAGCUGUACUCAAGGUAAAGGAAGAAGAAAGUCUCGAAAACAUUUCUUCAGUUAAGAAGAUCAUAAAGCAGAUAAUAUCCCAUUCCAGUAAAGUUUUGCACUUCCCCAAUCCAGAAGACAAGAAAUUGGAAGAAAUCAUUCACCAGAUUACUAAUGUGGAAGCUCUCAUUGCCAGAGCUCGGUCACUAAAAGCCAAGUUUGGAACUGAGAAAUGUGAACAGGAGGAGGAAAAGGAAGAUCUUGAAAGGUUUGUGAGUUGCCUGCUGGAGCAGCCUGAAGUGUUAGUCACCGGUGCAGGAAGAGGACAUGCUGGCAGGAUCAUUCACAAGCUGUUUGUGAAUGCCCAGAGGGCUGCAGCUAUGACUCCACCAGAGGAGGAAUUGAAGAGAAUGGGCUCCCCAGAGGAAAGAAGGCAGAACUCCGUGUCAGACUUCCCACCCGCUGCUGGCCGGGAAUUCAUUUUGCGCACCACUGUGCCGCGCCCUGCUCCCUACUCCAAAGCUCUGCCUCAGCGGAUGUACAGUGUUCUCACCAAAGAGGACUUUAGACUUGCAGUUAAAAUAAUCGAUGGGGAUGUGUAGCCCCCCGUGUGAGGAUGACAUCACCACAUUUCUAGUUUCAUGGAGCUCAAGAUGUCUUGUGUCUGUGUCGCUAGAUGGCCUCUGCUUGCUCCCCAGGUGUGUCCUGGUAGACAACUGCUCCCAGGAGCUGGCAUAGAAGCAAACCUGCAGGAAAAGCUGACCCACUCCAGGUGUGUGGAAGCUGCUGGCAGGAACCCAGCAAGGAUCCAGCUGGGUUGUAAUGGAAACAAUGCAACCAACAAUCCUUGAGCGAGCCGGGAUAGAUGUGGCCUCAUCACUGAAGAUUUCAUCUGAGACCUCUGCAAAUAUCCAAAUUGUAUAUGCUCUUAGAGCAGAUCAUUUUCUCACAGGGUGUCUAACCAAAGGAAAGGAAAUCAGCAUAUCAAAGAGAUAUCUGCACUCCCAUGUUGAUUGCAGCACUGUUCACAACAGCCAAGAUGUGGAAUCAACCAAAGUGUCCAUUGGCAGAUGAAUGGAUUAAAAAUGUGGUGCAUGG